UGCAGAAUCCCGUGAACCAUCGAGUCUUUGAACGCAAGUUGCGCCCGAGGGACCCUCCCGAGGGCACGCCUGCCUCAUGGGCGUUAGAAGCCCAUUCACGCUCGGUUGCCUGCUGGCAAGGAUGCGGACACUGGCCCUCCGAACCUCGAGGUGCGGUGGGCCUAAGUGUGCGGCCGUCGUAUGUGGCCGGGAGCGGCGAGUGGUGGGCUACUGCGCACGUCACCCCGGGCCCCGUACCGACACAGGGCCUUUCCUGACCCCUAACGAGGAGCUUGCCGUUGCGGCAUGCGCCGCGCGGCGCCUUCGGACCGAUACCCCAGGUCAGGCGGGGCUACCCGCUGAGUUUAAGCAUAUAAAUAAGCGGAGGAGAAGAAACUUACAAGGAUUCCCCUAGUAACGGCGAGCGAACCGGGAGCAGCCCAGCCUUAGAAUCGCGGCGGCACUGCCGUCCGA
rnacentral:rRNA from 1 species